GAUGAACGCUGGCGGCGUGCCUAAUACAUGCAAGUCGAGCGAACGGACGAGAAGCUCGCUUCUCUGAUGUUAGCGGCGGACGGGUGAGUAACACGUGGAUAACCGACCUAUAAGACUGGGAUAACUUCGGGAAACCGGAGCUAAUACCGGAUAAUAUUUUGUACCGCAUGGUUCAAACGUGAAAGACGGUCUUGCUGUCACUUAUAGAUGGAUCCGCGCUGCAUUCGCUAGUUGGUAAGGUAACGGCUUACCAAGGCAACGAUGGAUAGCCGACCUGAGAGGGUGAGCGGCCACGCUGGAGCUGGGACGCGGACCAGACUACUGCGGGAGGCAGCAGUAGGGAAUCUUCCGGAAUGGGCGAAGGCCUGACGGAGCAACACCGCGUGAGUGAUGAAGGUCUUCGGAUCGUAAAACUCUGUUAUUAGGGAAGUACAUAUGCGUAAGUAACUGUGCACAUCUUGACGGUACCAAAUCAGAAAGCCCCGGCUAACUACGUG
rnacentral:rRNA from 1 species